rnacentral:rRNA from 1 species
AGUGAACGCUGGCGGUAGGCCUAACACAUGCAAGUCGAACGGCAGCACAGUAAGAGCUUGCUCUUACGGGUGGCGAGUGGCGGACGGGUGAGGAAUACAUCGGAAUCUACUUUUUCGUGGGGGAUAACGUAGGGAAACUUACGCUAAUACCGCAUACGACCUACGGGUGAAAGCAGGGGAUCUUCGGACCUUGCGCGAUUGAAUGAGCCGAUGUCGGAUUAGCUAGUUGGCGGGGUAAAGGCCCACCAAGGCGACGAUCCGUAGCUGGUCUGAGAGGAUGAUCAGCCACACUGGAACUGAGACACGGUCCAGACUCCUACGGGAGGCAGCAGUGGGGAAUAUUGGACAAUGGGCGCAAGCCUGAUCCAGCCAUACCGCGUGGGUGAAGAAGGCCUUCGGGUCGUAAAGCCCUUUUGUUGGGGAAGAAAAGCAGCAGGUGAAUACCCCGAUGUUCUGACGGUACCCAAAGAAUAAGCACCGGCUAACUUCGUG